rnacentral:lncRNA from 1 species
CAGAAAUGGGUACCACGAGUGGGCUCCUGGGAUGAACCGGACCAGGUGGUUCACAGGGUUUGGCGCUGGUCUGCCGGAGGAGCUGGGAAAGGUUUGGAGACACAGAUGGGGAGGACUUGGGAUGUCAUGAGCAGAGCUUGACGGCAGUUCUCCUGGGAGCUCACAAGACUGCAAGGUGGGUAGGAAGGCAGACAGUGGGGACUGGCUCACGGAGUUUCAGAGGGAAACUGGGCUUGAGGCCACUCACUUCACAUUCUGCAACAAACUUGUCUACAUUUUGCCCGUUGCCCUGAGUCUUUGUGUGGGGCUGAACUUACAGGUGAUGGAUUAGAGAACCAGACCUACAGCCUGACCCUCUGAGCUGUGAAUUCACCUCCCGACUCCAGAUUCUUGUGACACGUUAGCGCUCCUUACUCUCCGAGCCGACCUUGGUUGUGUUUUGGGUAUUUUGAGUCUGGAAGUUUCCUAAUGCAGUCCUCACCAGCCCAGGAGCUGGAUGUGCCCAUCUUGCUGAACAGAAAACUGAGGCUCAGGAGCAUUAAACACUCCUCAGUUAGGAACAUGCGAGGCCGUGAUGGGAACCUGGCAGUGAUGAUUCUAAGGUCACCCCCUGGGACACCCUGCCCUUCUAUCAAAUCCUACUGAUGACUUUCUUUCUCACCCCUCACAUGACAAAGUUCAGGCCAUGUGGCCUGAGGCUCGCUGACAAGUGCCCAACCAUUUGCUCUUCCCAGAGGGUCCUGGACCCCCCACCCCUUCAGUCCUGUGCGGGCCCUGGCCCUCUGCGGCCCUCCUCCGUCUGGCGAGCGGUUCUGGUCAUGCCUGCGCACCAGCCAGGGCGAGGCCCCACCCUUCUGGCACAUCCCUCCCUUUAAGCACCUGUCACUCUACUCCAAGUCCUGGCACAAAGACAAGGCACGGAGGACCUGGCAGGAUGCCCAGAAUCCAGGGCUAGGAUAGCGGGAGCCAUUU